rnacentral:misc_RNA from 1 species
AAGUCGUAACAAGGUUUCCGUAGGUGAACCUGCGGAAGGAUCAUUACAUAAUAUACGUGUGAGCAGGGAGUAAUCCCUGCUCGUAACACACAUAUAACCCUUGUGAACCGUAAUUGACACCUUUGGUGCUUGCACCAAACGGUACCAACCAUAAACACUCGUUUAACAACUUGACUUAUCCAAUAAUAAAUAAUUAUUAUACAACUUUUAACAAUGGAUCUCUUGGCUCUU